rnacentral:lncRNA from 1 species
CGUAUUUUUACUAGUUGAUGGGAAAGACAUUGGGAAAGACCUGGGCUGGAUUUGUGAUGAGCUGUGUUUACUGAGCAUGAUGAAGUAAAGCUCAACGUGAUUACUCUGAAGUCCAGCCUUACUGUCAGUCUAAGGACUCAGGAUACAAAUACUCAAAACAUAAAUUCUUAGACUCUAAAUUUCACAUGGUUUUUCCUAUCAGUACAGGUUAAGGAUAAUGGCGUGUUGUAGGUUUUUCCAGUGCAAUACAAGGAAGUUGGUUCUAGAUCCUUUAGUACAGUUAAUGUUUUGUAGAGUGUGUUCUAUGUUCACUGCAUUGGUAUGUCUCAUCUUUGGCAUGAUCUUGGCUCACCGCAACCUCCGCCUCUUGCAUUCAAGCACUUCUUGUCUCAGCCUCCAGAGUAGCUGGGAUUACAAGCAUGUGCCAACAUGCCCGGCUAAUUUUUGUAUGCUUUUGUGGAGACAGGCUUUGCCAUGUUUGCCAGGUUGGUCUCUAAGUGAUCCACCCGCCUCAGCCCCACAAAGUGCUGGGAUUACAUGCGUGAGCCACCGUACCCAGCCACACCUUUGCUUAUUUCUACUAUGCAUUUCAAGUGAUCAUUUCAAGAGAAUAAGUACUUAGGAGCUCCUAUGCUCUUUUUUUUUUUAACCCUGUUGCUUGCAUCACCCGGUUCCAACCCUAUAUGAAAGUUUCAUGAGCAUGUUUCUGUCACUGAGGCAGCUUCUCCAUUUGGCAUAUAAUUGAGAAAUUGCUAGUUUGUGGCUGAGACAUUGGUUUGAGAGGAGACGUAAUUUAUAUAUUUAGCAGAAUGCUUAAGUUACAUUUCCAGAGAUUAAUUUAAUUCUACUUUUAAUUAAGUUAACCCUUUGCUGUAUCUUUACAAGACGUAGGUGGAGAUUUAAUUUUGACUCUUAGAUUCAGUUAAGGUGAUGAAAUUGGCAUUAUAUAGUUUUUGAUGCUGAGCCCCACGGAGAUUAAAAGAUUUGCUAAACACCAUGCAAUUUUUGAAUCACAUCUCUAAUCUCACAUUAUUCUGUACUCUAUUUUUUGCUUGUAUGAUUGAUGGGUCUUUCAUUAUCUGUGAUUGACAUUCUAUGAGUAGGUGCUUUUGCUUUGCCUAUAAGUCGUUAUUAUGAAGGAGGAAUGGUGAAUAAGAAGGUAAUUUAGAAAAGCCUAUAUUAAAUAUACCAUGAACAUUGAAUAUAGCAAGAUCUUAUUCUCUAGUUGUUAUCUUAGUUGAUAAAUUCUGUAUGUGUUAUGUGUUUGUGUAUACAUAUGUACAUAUUAAUGAUGUGGGUGUUGAUACUGUGAUCACAUGACAAAUGACUGGUUUAUAGUGAAAAGCUGUUGGGGUUCAGAGAAAUGAACAUUCUUCUAAAAGUGAGGUAGAUAAGUUAUUUUAUAGUUCUUGCCUUUGAGUCUCUGUUCUUCUGGUAGAAAUGUUAGUGUAUUUAUAACCUCUCAGAUUUGUUUGGUUCUCUUAGUGUUCUUGAUCCAGGCAGUUAGCGAUAUGUUGGAUGAAUUGAGAAAAAUGAGUUUUUCCUUUCCUACUAACUGAAUUAGAUUAGAAAUAAGCAGUUAAGUGAGAAAAAUAGGGAAUUAGUGCCAGAUAUGUUGAGGUGUAGUGUUGACAGGGGGUCUUUUACCUUCAGAUGUUUGGUGCAACUUAGAGAAUGCAGUGGUAGUUGCUGGCCCAGCCCAUCCAAACAACCUCAUUUGUGGGGUGAUACUUCACAGAUGACUUAAAAUAAAUCCCCUGAAAAUAAGAAUCUCUGGAAGAGAUGACACGUGUAUGUGCGUGUGUGCACGUGUGUGCGUGUGUGCACGUGUGUGUGUGUGUGUGUUUUGGUGGAGUGGUAGGAGGAGGGUUGGCUUAAUGAUGAGAAUCAUUAUUUCUUGAAUUGGAUGACACUUUCCAUUCCUGCAAAGGGAGCGUGAGGUCCAGCCUUGCUAAUUCAUGAUCAAAGUAAUUUGCUGAGAGUAGUGGAAGGAAUGAGUUAGCAGAAGAUGGCAAAUUGCAUUAAUGAGUAGUAGGAGGAAAACAAAUAAGCAAAUUUUAAUGUGGUUGGAACAUGUUCCUGAGUUGUAUGAAGGGAGACAGGUAAAUUGAGAGUAAUGUUAUGAUUGUUUCAUUUGUUGGAAAUAAGGAAAACUUGCAUGGUUUGAAUUGUGGAACAAUAGGUGGUGUAUGUUAGGAGUCAGAAUUAUCAUUUAACAUGUAAGUUUCUGUUUUACUUCAGAUAAAGAAUGUCAGCUACCUUUCCCAUGUUAGCUUCUAUACCUUUUCUUGAGGUGACCAUAAAUAGGUAAUAUUGUCUUUCACUGAGAUUGUUUUAAUUAGCGAAGUGUGCUGAUUAAAUGUCUUUUCUUGAUAAAUUAUUAGAAUGAAUAAAGGAUGGUAUUUCUAGAUAGCCUUGGUUAGUCAGUGAUUUGUUUAAAUUUAGUGUGGAUAAGAAUCACCUGAGGGCUUUUUAAACACAGUUUACUGGGUCCUGACCUUAGUGUUUCUGGCUUAUUAGGUAUAAGUAUGAGAAGUUGAUUUUUAUCAAGUUUCUAGAUGCUACAGAUCUAGGAACCAUACUUAGAGUGCUAUUAUAUGUCUUUUAAUGUACACUGAUAUGGAAAAAGCAAUGAUACAUCAUGUUAUCGCAUAUUUUAAAAUGUGAUCAUGACCAGGGAAUCUUGAAAGUUGUCUUAUGUAAUAAUGUAAAUCAAUGUAGAAUACCAUAUAUUUUUUUCUUGCAAGGUUAUUAUUAAUAGGAAUGACUAUUUGUAGCCAAUGUGUUCAAAUGCAUGGGAGGACGUAAACACUUCAUAAUUUCCUGGAAAUACAGACAUAUAUCACUUAAAAUAAUACAUUUCUAAUAUAAAUUUAAAUUAUCUACGUGAUAUGAGGAAACGAGCUUAUUUUUGAUAAUUUUCCUAGCAGUGAAUCAACUAUACUCAUUUGAAUCUAAAUUAAAUUAAAUUUGAGUAAAUUCAGCCAUUUCUAAAUUCAGUCCAUAUAAAUUCACUUUGGGUAAAAGAAGACAAAAUUCCUGAAAACAGUAGAUUAAAAAAAUAACAUUUUAAGAGCAGGUAUGAUCUCAAUGAAUAUAGUGUGGUAAUUUCUGCCUAAUACCUACCCUUUUGGAGGAAGGAAAGGUAAUCCUGUUUGUGUUUAAUGUUAAUUACUGAAC